GGCUGGGUAGCUCAGUUGGUCAGAGCACACGGUUCAUACCCGUGGUGUCGGCGGUUCAAGUCCGCCCCUAGCCACCA
rnacentral:tRNA from 1 species